UACGGAGGGUGCGAGCGUUGUCCGGAAUCACUGGGCGUAAAGGGCGCGUAGGCGGCUUCUCAAGCGUGUGGUGAAAGUCCGGGGCUCAACCCCGGAUCGGCCGUGCGGACUGGGGAGCUCGAGUUCUGUAGAGGCGGGUGGAAUUCCGGGUGUAGCGGUGGAAUGCGUAGAGAUCCGGAAGAACACCGGUGGCGAAGGCGGUCUGCUGGGCAGUUGCUGGACACUGAGGCGCGACAGCGUGGGGAGCAAACAGGG
rnacentral:rRNA from 1 species